rnacentral:rRNA from 1 species
CAGGACGAACGCUGGCGGCGUGCUUAACACAUGCAAGUCGAACGAUGAAGCUGGAGCUUGCUCCGGUGGAUUAGUGGCGAACGGGUGAGUAACACGUGAGCAAUCUGCCCUUGACUCUGGGAUAACUGCGGGAAACUGUAGCUAAUACCGGAUACGACACCUUGGGGCAUCCCGAGGUGUGGAAAGAAUUUCGGUCAAGGAUGAGCUCGCGGCCUAUCAGCUAGUUGGUGAGGUAAAGGCUCACCAAGGCGACGACGGGUAGCCGGCCUGAGAGGGUGACCGGCCACACUGGAACUGAGAUACGGUCCAGACUCCUACGGGAGGCAGCAGUGGGGAAUAUUGCACAAUGGGCGCAAGCCUGAUGCAGCAACGCCGCGUGAGGGAUGAAGGCCUUCGGGUUGUAAACCUCUUUUAGCAGGGAAGAAGCGAAAGUGACGGUACCUGCAGAAAAAGCACCGGCUAACUACGUG